rnacentral:lncRNA from 9 species
AUUGCUCUCCCCACUUCAUCAAUAGCUUUUAUUGCCGGCAUCGACCUCACUAAUGACCCACUGCGGCCCUCCACGCCUUAUUUCUUCCUUAUUCCCAUCAUCUCCUUCCUAGUCACCCUAAUUUUUCUGCUUCCCCGUUCAAUUAAAAAAAAAAAAAUCGUGAUUCCCAAUCUAGGAAGUGAUUUCCCGACAAAUGGCUAUCUCGUUGACUCCACACCCCCAACCCCCUUCUCUGUCUGUCUGUCGGUCUUUCUUAUCUACCCUUCACCUCCAGGAACCGCGGAGCCCGCGCUGCGCACACUGAGGCUUGCUGCUCCCUUACUUUACAGGCCCUUCCGCGGUUUUAUGAUUGGCGCUGUGGUUGGAAGGUUUAUAAAUAAUAACCAAGUAAUACGUCUCUCGCUUAAUGAAUCGCCCCACCUCGGACCAGUAACUCGCUCAGGAUCAAUGAGAGCCAGUGGGAGCGGGGACGGAAACCGCCCAACACCGCAGCCGCUGAAGACCAAAGCCGGACAACCCGAGUUCUUUGUACUGGAUGGGGCUGGCUUUGCUCCAUUUCAUCCCGUCCUGACCAACAUGGAGGCCCAUGAACUGGCACCUGCAAUUCAAAGUCAUCUUGGUGCCCUUCAGGCAAAUGUGAAAGGGGUAAGAAGCAGCCACUGAAGAUGACAUUACCAGGUACAUUUUGCCUGAUGAAAAGUGCCAUUGCCAUCAGAUGCCCCAGACAUGGUGACUUGUCAGCAGGUGGUGUGAAUCUGCAGGUGCAGGGGACAAACAGAUUCCUGCAAGUUGCAAGUUGUUCUAUGGAUGAAGGCACCUGUGUGACCAGCUGGUACCUGCUUCUUGGAAAUGAUUCAAGAAUGUAUUGAAUACAAAGUUGAGUGGGGCUGGUGGAGCCUGUGUUGUAAGAAAGGAAUGAUUUAGUGGCUGAGAACCAAGGCAGGAUGUUUGCGCAUGCAUGAAUCAGACCUCAAGCUUAUAUUUGGUUGGAGAACAGGAGAAUGAGUGAUGGCAGCAAAAGUGGUUUGCUGGGGGGGGGGGGUCAGCUGGACCAAUUUCUUGAUGGUGGGUUAGUUCUUGUGUCGUGCCUUUCCUCCUGUUCCCUUUCACCUUCCUGCUGUCUCUGUUCUCCAUCUUAGAUGAGUAGCCACACCAGCACAGGGCCCUGGUUCCCCAUCUUUAUUAGUCAGAAUGUCACCGUUCCUGAUGUAUCUGGCUUAGAACGUUGGGGUGGAGAGUAAUGACAAUGGGCUCAGAAUGUGGAGGAAGACAGAUCAAGGUCAAUGUACAGUUUGCUCACUCUUGUCUGUGGGUUGUCUCAGCCUGAGAAUUCAGAGUCUAGAAGGCAAAUAAGUAAAUGAAUAGCAUCUCAAGAAAUUGCCAAAAUAGGUUACAUGUACAAAACAGCAAGAGCAUUUUAAACUCCAUUUUUCUACUCUCAACCUCCUGCAUGCAUGUAGUUCCUCUAUAUUCUGUCUCCAAUUUGACUGCAAAUUUUCCUAACAUGACUCUUACUGGGUGGUUGUUGUUGUUUACCACACCCACUGCUUAUGGAAGUUCCUGGGCCAGAGAUUAAAUCUGUGACCUACACACUGUAGCCAGGGUAACACCAGAUCCUUAAUCCACUGCACCGGCUGGGGAUGGAACCCUCGCUGUUGCAGAAACAACACCAAUCACUGGACAGUAGGAACUCCAAUCCAUACUGCUUUUUUGUCUCUUUUUCCCUGGCUGAUCCUGUUCUAUUUUCUUCCUCCGUUCACAAUGGGUCUUUUCUAAUGUAAUCAAUGUUUUUUUCUGUAUCUUCCCAGUUCUCUUUUGAUUACCAUAAUUCAUAAACCCAGGAACCAAGUAUGCGAAGUAUGAAGGGAGAGAAAUAAGACUUAAGAUCUGCUCUCCCUCCUCCCAUUACAAGGGGUAGAGCAGAUGUCAUUUGAUAUUAUUGAUAAACAACUGUUUCAACAACUGUUUGUGAAUAUUUGUACUUGAUGCUGACUUGGUUGAUAAAUUUUCCCUGGGAGAAUCUGUCUCUGGAUAUAAUCAAACUUAUAACUACUGUAAAAGCUGUUCCCAUGUACAAAGAAAAACCAGCUGUACUUGCUCUUCCUUUGACUUAGAAGAGAAAAAUCUUAACAUGUAAGUGAAAACAAUUUAAGGAAGAAAAUAAUGCUCUGAGUUCAAAUGAUUGCUUUCUUUAAAAAUUUUUAUUAAAGCACACAUUAUUCUGCCACCAAAUAUAAACUGGGGACUUGGGAGAUUAUUUUCCUCACCUUACUCUGUUUCCUUCCCCAACAAAAAGUACGCCACCCAAAUUCUAGAUUUCUAUCAGCAUUUAAAAAGACUUCCAUUGGGUGUUUUGGUCCGAGUUACUAAGUAACUGUUAGAUUUUUGUAUUGACAAUUCUCAUAUUUACUAAAAGUAUUAUCUGCCACAUCUUGUGUCUUAAAUAUGUACUUUAUUUAAUAUCCAUUUUCCUUUUCAGUAGAGUCUUGGUCAAAAAUUGGAGAGAAUUUUUUGAAAAAUCAAAUCUGUUGUCAGUCAUUGGGUGAUUUACUCUUGUUCAUAUUUUGAUAAUCACUGAAUACAUCCUAUUAUACUGAUGUGAUUAAUGCAAAUUUUAGUGUGUCUAAAGGUUAUACAGAGAUUGUGUUUAUAUAGUGAACACACAUUUUGGUUUUCAAGAUUGAAGAAAAUAGCAGAUUUCUUAUCAGGACAUAGAUUAACAUGAUUUAUUUGAUUUGGCAUUAUUUUAUACACAUUCAAAAGACACAACUAAUAGCAUUUUGUAAGGAGGUUUCUCUCUGCUUUAAUAGACAGCAGUACUCUUUAGUUUAACACUGAAUACAUUUUUACUGAACAACUUUAUUUAACAUUAUAAGUGCCCACUGAAGGCUAAUUUUUAACAUAGUCAUGUUGGAAAUGCAUUGAGAGGGCAGUGUCUCAGAUUUGCCUAAUGUACUUAAUAUAAUUCUAGAAUUUUAAUAAUGUUGACACUGAUUCUCUUGUUUAUGUGACCAAUUUAUUUGGCUUGUUUUCUCCUGGACAAGAUGAUGAUUGAGACUGUCAACAUUAAUUUCCUUUCCAAAAUUAUUAGACGUAAUGAAAUUCAGCUACUUGAAUGCAUUUUCUUCUAAAAGUUUACUGCAAAAUGCUUUUGAUAUAACAGUUAUUUCAAUUAUUUUGUCUUUAAGGUAAUUUUAACUUUUUUUUCCAUUAGGCACCUUUAGAACUAGAGUAUACUUUUUCUGUUUUGGAGGAUUUGCUCCUGAACCCCUUUCAGUCUUUUGUUCUCAUGGGGGAGAGGGCUGGAGCAAGAGAAAAAGAAC